ACCUUCAGAGAAAAAGCAUUCAGAGAGAGAGAGGAUCAGAAACCACGGAGGGCUCUACUGACUCCACACUGAUCUUUAAGACGGAAGCAAUUUCAAGCAGCAGGGAAGAAAAGCUGGAAAAACAGAGGGACGAAGAGGACACAGACUCAACAAUCGGACAGGACCGACCGCAUCCGUCACACCUGCAUCGGGUGGAAAGACCAACGAGUACGUGAGAAAACCAUGUUUGAAGCGUUUGUCUGCAUGUUACAACAGGGUGGUGGGCAACAUAUGGAGCGCGGACCCGAAAAAGGCCGCUCCCACGAAGGACGUGGUCGAGCCAGAGAGACAAAAUGAUGAGCCCUACAACCCAGACCAGUGUUUGUACUGCAAGGACUUUGGACAUUGGGUAUGUAACUGCCUGAAGAAAAAGCAAAAACCACCUCAGACAGAGGACAACACUUGUCCCUCUGUUUAACGGAGUCCAAAAGCUGAUGAGGAAGGUACUGCUAACACACACACACACACACACACACACACACACACACACACACACACACAUACACACUCACUUCAUGCAAUGAAGAAAUGCUUUGCACUGAUGCACUGUUUUUGUUUUUGCUACUAGGGACAAUUGAUAGGGUUGAAAGGGGUUCCACUCACUUUUUUUUGUUAACUCUGGUGCUACAAACUUGAUUAUUAGAGCUAAAGAUUUGACACUGAAGCUCAGUGGUCAUUCUAUUUGGUCAAUUGAGGCUACAGGUCAAACAGUAAAAGAACAAUUCUCUGUUCCUUUCUCAUGUACAUGGGGAAACUUUUUUGGUGUCUGAUUUAUGUCCACUUAAUUUGCUUGGUCGUGAUUUAAUGUGCACUUUUAAUAUUGAUUCAACCUCAACACCUGAUGGAUUGAGAAUUUCUCGUAAUGAUGCAUCUGGCAUAACCACAUUUGUUAAUUACAGUGUGGCUAAAAUGACCUCACUGAGGCGGCGUCUGUAAUCAGCCUUGCCUCUGACUGACAUGCUUGACUGACAACCAAUAUAGUUUUUUUUUUUUUAGUGCCCAGCUUGUGUUUUUUCUACAUCUCUCAAGGCUGCAUCUGCUUUUUUUCUUCCUUAUUAUAUAAUAAGUAGACAUUUUUCCAAGUGAUAAUAUUGAUAAAAGAACAAAUAAUGCUUUUUGGAGUUCUGUUUUGUGUCACACAGCGCCUCAUUUGUGUCAGUCGGGUCCAUCUCACUCCCCCUCCAGCUGCAGGACCGGUGAAAAACUGUACCAGAAGAUUGACCAUCACAGCACCUCAGACCACAGCACAGCUAGACACGAUAAAGGUUUGUGGUCUGGCUACAGUUCUCGGCCCAGAGGGAAAGGGAUGGUGGACCACUGCUAGCUGUCUGGUUGUGACUUCAGCAUCUGGAGAUGCACUGUGUCUAACCAAAGAGCCAGCAGCAAACCACACGCCCUACCCAAAGCCUGGAGGAACAUUCUGUGAUGAACUGAUGACGCUGAAAUAAGAAGGCUUCGGAGGGGUCAGUCAUAUGACCCCGAGGCCUGCUUCGCCAAAGAAAAAGACACUCAACCCUAUAUGGAGGUACGGACCAGCAGACGGACUGAGAGAAGGAGGGGGGGGAGCGAGAGACCGUCCUGAUCUGACACAUGUGACGCAUUGUGAAGUUAAGUAGCACACAGACUCACAUUCUGAAAAUACACACACUAUGAGGAGAAGAUAAUUAGAAGUUCUUAUGUUUACUUUUAAGAUAAGUAUUCAGUUGGUGUGUCAGAAAAUGUUUAAAGUACAUUUCACUGUUCAAAUUCGAAUUGGAUUGAUGAAAAGUUGAUAAAAAAUGAUCCAUACAAAGACUUCCUAGAAACCUUAAAUUGUAUUUUUCAAGUUUUUUUGCAGUUGCUGCAUCUUUCCUGAGACCUGUUAAAGUUGUGUGAGGUUUAGUGCUGAGAUGGUUUGAAACCAUGAUGAUUAAAACCAGGUAUCAACAACUUUAACACGGAGAUUAUCAUUAAAACUAACAUCUAAAUGAAAAUGUUUAAUGUUGAUGUGACUGCUUAAUGAUGUGCAUUAUGAGUAAUGUACUGAGACAAUGGUAUACACAGUCAUUUAAUAUUUACUCUCAUGUUUACACGAAAAGUAAGAUAUAAGGUAGUUAAAGAUAAAUCUUAUAAACAGUAAAAGAUAAUACUUUUUAUACUAUAAAGAUAAAGAUAAUGAUAUAUAAUAUACUUGUAUACUUUAUAUAUAGAAGGGAUAACAAUUCAGUCAGGAAAAGCUUAGAAGAAACAAGAGCUUUAGAGAGAGAGAGAAGUACACUGGAUGACAGUCUGAGAGACUGGCUCAGGUUACAAGUAGGCGUUUCCAGCGAGGAGGAGUCUGCCACAAGACCUUCUGUCUCUGAGCUUUCAGCACACCAACAUAAAAAACUUGAAUUGACUCAAAUGCCUAAAAGUUUAGAAAAAAACAAGAGGUCGCCUUCCAGGCCAGUUCCUGCUAGUGCCAGAGAGCUAAAUGUACUUUUGAAUUAGGAUAAUGGGUUUCCUAUUGAUGGAUUGUAUAGGAGUUAAAUUUAACAGUUACUUUCAAUCAGAAAUCAAUUAUAUUUGAUCUACUUCUUGCUUUUAUCUGAGGGAAUUUCCCCAGUGUGGGCUAAAUAAAAUCUCUCUUAUGUCAUAUAGGUGAUAAACAAACAGUUGAUUUUUGACUUCAAACACAAAUUAUGUCAUUUUUAGGAAUAACUAAUUCGGAUUUCAAGGACAAAAAAUUUAGUAUCAGAGUUUUGUCAAAUGCUUACAGAUACUAUUGUAAUCUGACAUAUUGGGUAAUGAAGAAUUAGGAUUUUUGUACACAAAACAUGUUUUAUUGUCAUCAAACUGCCCGACAAAUAUAUAGGCUUACAAGUCCAGCUGAAAUGAUUAGUUGCUUAAUCAAUUAGUUGAUUGACGGAAAACUGCUUUGAUCGUGUACAGUUUUCAAAAAUGAGAGGACUUUUCUAUAUUGUUGCUUUUUUGUACCUUAAGUACAUAUUUUUAUGAUACUUUUCUUACUUAGGUGAUAUUUUUAAUGGAAUAUUGCCGGUAACAGAAAAUGUUUACAGUUUGGAAUCAGUACUUACUUUGUCCACUAUAACUAUCUGUAUGAACCUUGUUUAAUUGACUAACCCUAAUGUAGCAAUAUUUUUGAAUCAAUGAUGACAUACUGCAGAUCGGACUUGAAAAAGCAGUGUGUUGAAAUGCUCCUUUCUUACAGAGGCUCAGAACAGCCGAGAAGGGUACUACACACACACACACACACACACACACACACACACACACACACACACACACACACACACACACA